CAGGAGAUAAGUAGGGUUUACCUUUGUGUUUCCCCAAGUGGCUGCCUGGUUGCACCAACCCCCUUUACUGGAUGGCUCGUGUUUCGCCCAAGGCUGGGAAACGGUCCUCUGCACGUACGAGAGACGCGUGUACCGUCCCUGGCUGUUCUGGCUUAUCUGGUUUUCACUGCAAAACUACAGAAUCCGCUUAUCGGGCUGCCAGUGGUGUUUCUCCUGGGACCAGAUUAGGUCUGGGGCUGCCUGAGGAAGAAUCCUUCUACUUAAAGAACUCUAUCGAACACUAGAAACAGUGCUGGCAAGGAUGCGGUGGCAUGGGAACGCUGUGUGUGGCUGGACAGACGUGUGUUGGGGCAGCCACAUGGAAGGCCGUCUGGAGGUCCC